rnacentral:rRNA from 1 species
AUUGAACGCUGGCGGUAUGCCUUACACAUGCAAGUCGAACGGUAGAGGGGCAACCCUUGAGAGUGGCGAACGGGUGAGUAAUACAUCGGAACGUGCCCAGUCGUGGGGGAUAACGUAGCGAAAGCUACGCUAAUACCGCAUACGACCUGAGGGUGAAAGCGGGGGAUCGCAAGACCUCGCGCGAUUGGAGCGGCCGAUGGCAGAUUAGGUAGUUGGUGGGGUAAAGGCCUACCAAGCCUGCGAUCUGUAGCUGGUCUGAGAGGACGACCAGCCACCCUGGGACUGAGACACGGCCCAGACUCCUACGGGAGGCAGCAGUGGGGAAUUUUGGACAAUGGGCGAAAGCCUGAUCCAGCCAUACCGCGUGCGGGAAGAAGGCCUUCGGGUUGUAAACCGCUUUUGUCAGGGAAGAAAUCUUCUGGGUUAAUACCUCGGGGGGAUGACGGUACCUGAAGAAUAAGCACCGGCUAACUACGUGCCAGCCGCCGCCGUAACAC